GGGCCCGCACAAGCGGUGGAGCAUGUGGUUUAAUUCGAUGCAACGCGAAAAACCUUACCAGGCCUUGACAUCCAGAGAACUUACCAGAGAUGGUUUGGUGCCUUCGGGAACUCUGAGACAGGUGUUGCAUGGCUGUCGUCAGCUCGUGUCGUGAGAUGUUGGGUUAAGUCCCGUAACGAGCGCAACCCUUAUCCUUACUUGCCAGCACGUAAUGGUGGGAACUUUAAGGAGACUGCCGGUGACAAACCGGAGGAAGGAGAGGAUGAUGUCAAGUCAUCAUGGCCCUUACGGCCUGGGCUACACACGUGCUACAAUGGGGAGUACAAAGGGUAGCAAUACCGCGAGGUGGAGCA
rnacentral:rRNA from 1 species